AUGGCUCGAUCUCCUGGACCCUUACCACCAGACUGCAGAACAGGCGGAGCAUAUACCCGUAUGCUUCGCGCUGCGCUAAACAGAUCCUGGCGUGAUCACCCUACCAACAAAGAGCUAUAUGGUAACAUUCCACCACUCAGCCAAUCUAUCAGACGGCACCGACUACGCUUUGCCGGUCACUGCUGGCGCGGCAAAGAAGAACUGGCAGGAGACUUGGUCCUCUGGGCGCCCUCCCAUGGCAGAAGAUCACAAGGCCGUCCAAGAAUGACCUAUCCAGACCAACUAGCCAACGAUAUCGGCUGCCUGCCUCAAGAACUUCCCGCUCUGAUGAGCAAUAAGGAUGAGUGGAGGAGAACUGUGUCGAGUAUUAGCCAAGCUAGCUCGACACAUGUUCAUGCAGUGCAGUGGUCUGUGAUGACCUCUGUGGAUGUAAUAAAAGAACAAUUCCCCGGUAUUUCACGCAAAAAAGCUGCACAGUUAAGAAGACAAAAAGAAAAGCAAGAGAAGAAUAAGAUAUAUUAUGAAAGAAAUCGUCAAAAGAUCAUUAAAAAUGCUAAAGAGAGACGACAGAAAACUAAAGAGUCACGCACAUGUGUACACACGAGAUCGUCAAUAAAGGGCGUGAACAAAACGAGAAGCAAUGAGACCAAAGAGGAAAAUCGGAAAAAAGAAGACAGACGACAAAAGAUUAGAGAGCAGACAAGGGAAAGGGUAAGGAAACAUCGUGAAAAGACAACUCAAAGAGAAAGCAAUUUAAACCAAGCCGACGGCCGCUCUGGAUAUACAAACAGGCAAUCAAAAAAACGUGCAACUGACAAGGUGAGAGAAGCCCUUCCUCAGUCGCCAAGAAAAAAGCCGUUAUCUUAAAAGCAGUGAUGAACAGCCCAAGAACCCGAAAGGUAUUGGAAAAAGAAGGCGUGAUGAAAACUCCGGAAAACCAACAAGAAUUUAAGGCUUUAAAAGCUCUAGCAGAAGAUAUUUCAUCACUGAAUGGAACACUCCCAGUACCAAAAACUCUCACUGAAGCUAAUGGGCAAAUACGAUGGUCACGGUAUGAGUAUGUGCCUACGGGAAAAUUCCUACCAGAUGGCCAAGAAAAAAAGAAAAUCUCCCUUGUUCAGAAGGAAACACCACCUUCACAAUUGUUCCAGUAUCUUAAAGAUCUACUUGUAGUUUACCCAAGUCAUUCUUUCACUGCACGAUGGCAGAGGGAUCAGCUAGACAACCUGAUAGAUUAUUUGCCACAGGGACAUGUGCUAUGUGUCCAUGACUACUCGGAAGGACACACCUGUAGAAAGCAAGAUGAAAUACAAAGUGAAUACUUUGAUGUUGCCAAAGUAUCUCUCCAUGUGUCCAUCCUUUAUCGGCAUGCUGUUGAAGCUAUUGAUGGUAUUUCUAGCACCGAGGAAGAGCCCAACACAAUCAAAGAACACUUGUUUGUCAUAUCUGAUGAUCCAACACAAGAUAAUGACAGUGUACACCAUGUGCAGAAACAAAUUAUGGCAUACCUCAAAGAUGACCUCGAUUACAAAGUGAAGAAACUACAUGAGUUUACUGAUGGCUGUGCUGCACAGUACAAGUCACGACACUGUCGUGGUAGGUGACUUAUCAUGCUCUCUGGCUGACUUUGGGUGCCAUACACAACGUUCAUACUUCGAAACUUCGCACGCCAAGGGUGAGCAAGAUGCAGGAGGUUCACACAUAAAGCAAAAGGUCAGCCAGGCAGUGUUGCGAGGAACAGCUAGAAUAACCAUACUCAUACUCAUACUUCUUCCAGCAGCAAGCAGCUUUCGCUCUAGAACAAAAGAAGUUGAGCUGAAACGUCGAGUGUUUUUCUUUGUCCCAAUCACAGGGGAUGGUCCAGUAGCAAGGAACAGACCUGACAGGCACUUACCAGUAAAAGGAAUUCGUCAGUGGCACUGUGUGAGGUCUUUGGCACAGCAAGAGAAGCUGAAAGUCAGGAAGAGGUCCUGCUAUUGUGMAAACUGCAUCUUGGAGGACGAGGAUCACUGCCAAAAUCAAGAGUGGAUGGACGAUUGGAAGGAUGUGGACAUCACCAGAGAGGGUUCAGUAGCAACCACAAGACAAGCUUCUGAAUCAUCUGCAUUAAACCAUGACACUACACUACAUAUCGCAGAUCUGGCUGCUAAAGGAAGUACUGUAGCAAUCGCUGCAUGUGAAGAUCCUGUAUAUGACUUCUAUUUGCUACAAGUGACUUCUGAGGGUGUUGUAGAGCUGGAGGACUCUCUGAUAGAUGAUUAUUCUAGUCACUAUCCAAGAGGUAGUGCUGUAUUAAAGGAUCACUUCUAUCUAAGAGAAAACCUACACGAUAUGACUUACACUCUGGACACCAAGCGUCUGUUGUGUAUGCAGGCACAGUACGACACAUAUGUAGUGAGGUGGCAGUUAAGAAGACAAAAAGGAAGACAAUUUAA